rnacentral:rRNA from 1 species
UACGAAGGGUGCAAGCGUUGUUCGGAAUCAUUGGGCGUAAAGCGCGCGCAGGCGGAUCAGUGAGUCAGGUAUGAAAUCUCGAGGCUCAACCUCGAAACUGCGCCUGAAACUACUAGCCUAGAAUGUCGGAGGGGGCAGGGGAAUUUCACGUGUAGGGGUAAAAUCCGUAGAGAUGUGAAGGAACACCGGGGGCGAAGGCGCCUGCCUGGACGACUAUUGACGCUGAGGCGCGAAAGCGUGGGGAGCAAACAGG